rnacentral:lncRNA from 1 species
UAGAAGGAGAAGAGAAUCUGGCUGGAGACCCCAGGGUAUUGACAGAUGUGCAAUUUCCUUGAUGGGCAGUUUAAACCUUCAAACCUAGGACAGAAGAGCUGCUGCUUUAGCUGAGGUGUGGCAUUUUUCCUUGGAAUAACUGACAUUAAUUUGGACUCAGUUAAUCCAGUCAAGAGAAACAAAUGGAAACAUGAGUAAUAUGGAAAGAAGCAAGUUGAAGAAAGAUUUCAUGUUCUGUUGUGAUUUUCUCUCACACUGGUCCUGUAUCAUGAUCAGGACAAGUUCCUACCUGGAGAGAUCAAAUCUCCUGUGAUGGAAAAACAACUCCUGAACUUCCAGUAAUCCACAGCCCCUGUAAGACUCUGGAUAAGCUGCUGUGAACAGCCACGGGUCCUCCAGCAUGGAUCAGGUCUAAUGCUGCCUUACCCAGGAGUUGCUUCUGGGACCCCCCUGUUUGUCAGGUAAGAGAAAGCUCAAGGAAAAGUCACCUUUAAUAUCAAAGCAUUCCGUGAAUAUGAGUACCAGAGAACCCUUUUUUUGAACCUCCAGGACCAUAAAAGGGCUUUCAGUAAGAGGUGGAUGCAGGCAAAUUAAUUCUUAGGAAAGUGACAUUUAUGUGUUAUAUAAG